rnacentral:lncRNA from 1 species
UUCUCCCACCCUUGUUGGAGCGAAUGCGCGAGUCUGACAGUGAACCUUUUGGGAAAGAGCCAGCAUUGUAACCGUGCUCGGUGACUUCUCUGGCUUUAUAGGGAACAGAUGUGAGGAUAGCAAGGGGCGCACACGUGAAAUGCCUGGCAGGUACCCCUUUGUGGCUCUACUUACUUCUUGCCAUUCCUCUGCCCUCCAAGUGUAGAGGGGACACCGUGGGCCUUGGCAGUCGCGUUCCGACUCCGGUCUGGUGUAUGGGUUGCACUCGGUCUCUCUGGCUAUUUUGUGUGUUCCGAUCUGACAGCCCACAUGCCUCUGCUGUACGCCUCGGCCACAGGACACAGAGCACUAAGAAGACAGAGAACAUUCACAGUCUGGUGAGACAAGUUUGAGAUCUCAUAUUUUCAGCUCAUCCUUGAAAACCUUUCUUCGAUUUGACUGACCUUGAUGGCUCCCUGGAAUCUCACCUACAUUUUAUGGGAAAUUCAACUCUCCAGAGAGAAGAGCUUUCAGAUAGCUGCGGGACUUGCAACUGUGACUUUCAGCUUUCGCUUUUGAAUGAGGCUCCAAAUGUCUCAAUGGUGGCACUAUUUCCAGAUUUGGGAACUUCCUCCCUGACAUUAUGUCCAUGACCCUGCACCCUGCGGGGGGCUCGGAUAUGUUACGUCUGAUUCAAAGACAACCAAAAAGAAGGAAAUAAUGAUUUCACCAAGAAAGGACACAUACCAAGGCAGGAAUAGGUAAGUGGGCUAGGUGGGGCUUUUAUUAAUCUCAAGGAAAACAAACAGCACACAUUUUUGGGAAAAUGCUUUCAUUUUCAAAGGAAUCUGGAUGUGGACUGGAUAGCAGUCGAUUAAGAAAAGGCAGAGUCUGCAUAUGGCCAGAUAUUUACUGGAAUUUACUAGGAAGAGAUGCAAUAAAAGUCUAGAUUCCCCUGGGAAAAGGGAAGCAAAAAAAAUGCACCAUUCUCAGAGGCCUUUCAGUUUAGCUGCAUGGGUGGGAUGGGGAGGAGGGAGGAGGAGAGAAGGCUUAGGAAAGAGAAAAUCAUGGGAAAAGGCCAAUAAAAAAGUAGGAAAGAUUCUGUUUCUGCUGAGCUCUGCCACACCCCACUCCCUUUUUUAUCACAUUACAGUGCAAAUCUCAGAUUAAAAACAGCUUCCUAGAAUGUGUCAGAAUUUUUAAAGUUGUGAAAUAAAUCCAGAUCUACUCUUUACUUCCUUGUGAAGGAAAAAACACACUCUGAAUACAUUUGUUUCUUUAAGAAAUUUUAUAAAGUAACUUAUUUUGAAAAUUUUCCAACUUAUAGAAAGAUUGCAAGAACAUCAUAAAGAUCUCCCUUAUCCCCUCAUCCUGAGUCCCCAAUUGCCAACAUUUCACCACAUUUGCUCCCCCCAUCUCUCUCUCUAUAUGCUAUUAUUAUUUUGUCUUUCCCUGAAAAAUUUGAGAGUAAUUUAGAGACAUAACAUCCCAUCAUCUCUAAAACUCUUUUUUCCUCAAAUCAAGGACACUCUUUUAUGUAAAUACCGUACAACUCUCUAAGUCAGGAUAUCAUCAUUAUUAAUACAACAGCACUAAAUAAUCCUAUGCCUUUCUUUUUAAUGAUUCCCUUCUACCAGUUAGCUCUUUACUUCCAUAUUUCUGGGCUAAUGUAAUAAGGAGUUCAGCACCUGAGUAGCUGAGCUCAUUCAUUCAUUUCAACAUUGUUUAUAGUAUGCCUAGUUUGAGAGAGGCACCCAGUUUGAACUGUGGGUUUCAUUAGGCAGAAGGAAAUUCAGGUAUGGGGCAAUUAAAUAAAUGAUUGGGGAAACAGGUUUUUCACUUAAAAUGUGUUGGCUCUGUCUAUAUUUCUUCCUCUGUCCUAGCUAAGAAAAAGGAAGCAAACACAGUCUGCUUUUUCCCUGUUGUAUUUCCCUCUGUUCAUCUUACCAAGUUCCCAAGCGUAACUGUUUUAUUAUUCACCUGCCACAUGGACUAAGGAAUACAGAGGUAGUUGUGAGAAUGAGGGGUGAUGAGAGGAAGAGGAUGCAAGAACAGGGUUCAAGGUGGUUGACUGUCUUACCAAUGGGAAUGAAUAAGACAGCUUUGCUAAAAGAAGAGUUCAGCUCCUAUAGCUUAAUUUUAGCUCAAUAAAUAGUUUGGAAGACGUUCCAAUGCAUUGAAUAUGCUUUAUUUCAACCAGAGAGUUACGGUGAGAUCACAUUUUAGUAAAUUUUACCAUUUUUCAUAAUUCACUUGUAAGUGCUACAGCAUCUUACCUUCUGCAAGGAACCUCAUCACCAUGAACAGAUGUAAAGUCACCUGACUGGCUCUAAUAAAAUCUAUCAUCCUGACUAUCUAUAUAUCUACUAAAUAAAGAAAAUACCUCAAGUUAUUCCAUUUCUACUAAAAAUGCCAGAGAUAGCACCCAAUAUGUGCUUAAUACUGGUUGCUUUUUUCUUAAAAUCUUCUGAAAACCCCAAAUCUUGCUCUUUUACUUGGUUUGAGACAAUUUUCUUAUAUUCAUUCCUGAUUUUCUUUGCUUAUCCCCUAAGCAAAACUUGUAAAUGGCUCAAUUAGCUUCAGAACAUUUCAAAUAUUAAUAGUUACACUCUGGGAUAACAUAAAAUCCUACAUUGUAGACAUACCCUUUCCACUCAUGUUACAUUUUACCAUUUCAUCAACUAAACAAUGAGAUGAGGGGAUUAUAUCUUGGCUUAAACCACUAGCUUAAAAUUCAGAAAAUCCUAAAUUCAAAUCCUGGUUCAGCCACUUCCCAGCAGUGAGACCUAGAGACCACUACUGAGCAGUGAGAUCAACUAAGCAACUUCUCUGAUGGUGCUGACUUCAUCAUGUAGAGAGGAUUAAGUUAGACAAACGUGGGUGAAUUGUUUAGCAUAAUUCUGAGCACAAAGUAAAUGUUCCAAAAUGUAAGUGGUUGUUAUAAUAAAAAAAAAAUCAAAGUCCUCCCUAUAAUUAUGGGAGGAAACACAUUGUGUGACAAAUUAAGUGGGGAAAAAAAUCUGCUCCUUUGUGGAUAACUGAAGCUAUCAAUUCAUUCACUGUCUGAGAUAUUUCAGAAGAAAAUGGCUUAGGGAGAAUCAUUUGAACUAUUUCUCAUUUUAGUGCAUAGUCAACCUGAGAGUGAGCAUAGUAGAUUAAUCAGUGCUUCUAAAAACAGACCAUCUGUCAGAUUAUAAUUUAAUUCAGGAUGUUGCCCUAAACGGGGGGAAAACACUCUAUCUGGCCACUGAGGAAGAGAACUGAUGGCAAUUAUCAGUCAAUUUGCAGUCAAUGUUGUUGCAUAAGUUUAAAUUUCUUGGGGCCCUCAGUAUAGAGUAAAAAUGUAAAUGAAUAAGAGGUUUUUUUCUUUUUGACACUGUAGACAUUAAGUUUUGCAAAAUUAAAUGACUACAUUUACAGUCAUGGAGGAGAGACAUUGCCUCAACUCGGUUUCUUCUGAUGUGUCUUUGAAACAGAGCCCUGCAAAGCUAAUCUGCUCAACCUUCACCUACUGGGUUCAAUGAAUAUGAAAAGCUGCCUUCCUGAAACUUUUCCUUCAAAGAGGGAAUGAUCUCCUGGAAUUCAAGCUUCUACAAGGUGGCUACCUGGUGUUUUCCACUUUUGCCGUCUCCUAAAAAGCAUCAUUCAAGCCUUGCCCUUUCAACCCACUGAACACAUAAACAUGCUUUCUCCUUAACUGAACUUAUGGCCACGAUGAACUUGAACUCUGAGAUUCACAGAGGAGAGUUUGUUUUAACAGCUGCUUUUACAAUGAAGCCCUGGAGUUACUACUCUCAAGACCCCUGGUUCUGAUAGGCCAUCUUUUCACUGUCCUCUGCAUUUUCUAAUGCCCAGCUGUCAAGGAACACCCACUGAAGUUUUCCAAAACAAAGGCACGAAACACAAGAAAGGCAAGAGAAUGCUAAUCACCAGAUGCAUGGGCAUCCUAUGGGGGAACCCCUUACAUGUGGAAUACGGUUUUUCUCCCCAAUUUAUUUUUAUAAAUUUAUUGAUUUCUUUGCUAGUUUGUUAUUAAUUGUUAGAGAUGUCCUGUUGCCUGAGGUUGCCCUGUCCGAUAUGGUAGCCACCAGCGACAGGUAGCUAUUUAGAGUAAUUUAAAAAUUACAUUAAAAAUGCAGUUUCCUUGUCACUUAACCAUGUUUCAAGUGCUCAGUAUUAACCACAUGUGACUAGUGGCUUCCAUAAAGGAAGGCAAAAAUAGAGAACAUUUACAUCGCUGCAGAAAGCUACUAGAUUUUUUUGGCCAAGGCAUAAGCUCUUUCUCAUAAGAGAAAGGGGAUGCAGAUCUUGCUAAGAGUGAUGGAUUUCUGGGUUCAGCCUACAUGAGUCAUCUUCCAUACUACCCCUGGACAUGCUUUCCUUGGCUGCCAAUUUUCUAUUUUAUAAAUUUCAGGAAAGAGAGAUUAUGGUUGUUAAAACCAUUCAUGACAAUGAUCCCACUUUAGAGAAAACAACAGCAACAAGCAAAGAAGAUGGUGUGGAGAUCCGCACAUUCCACAUCUUUUAAUUGGUACCCAUUAAAUAACAAAGGGAAAAAGUACCCUCAGACCACAACUCUCCACCUUGUGUGGAGGCCAAGGACCCAGCAGGGAGAAGGCAGAAGAUUAGGUUCUCCACUCAUCCUGGCUCUCAGACCACUGAACUCACAUUUGGGUUCUAAUGGAAUGGUGAUUGGAAGCAUAUUCUCCAAUAGGAGGUUUUUAAAAGUUCUGUGCCAUCAGCCAGGCAGCAUCUGUCAUUUAAAAUGACUGGCCAGUUGCACGUUUAAAAGCAAAGAUAAAAUUGCUAAUUUAUACUUACUGAAUAAACAUCAGCAGUAUCCAUGAAGGUACCUACCCUAAUAGCAAGUUGUAUUUUUAUUUUUAUGGUGGUGGCGAAGCUGCCAGGAAAACCAAAGCAUCAGUUCUUUAAUUACAUUUGUUUAGUAUUGAUUUAAUACUAAAAUUUCUCUUGCUCCCUUAGAACAAAGAGCUCUAACUUGUACACUGCUGUAUCCUUAGCACCUGGAACAGUCCCUGGCCUACAAUAGGCACUUAGAAAGUAUUUGUUAAAAAUUGAUUUUUUUUUUUUAAAGAAACAACCCAGAGUUUUUUUAUUCUGCCCCAACCCCCAACCCCUGGCAUUAAAAUAAAUCUUCCUCAACUGCCAUCACUAAUCGCCAGGAUUCCCUCCUAGCCAAUUAUGCUUGGACUCAACCUCUACCUCCCACUCCACAUUCCAAAGUUUCUAUUUCUUUCCAUUCCAGAAGGGCAACUCCACAACAGGAGUGAGGGAGAGGACCUGGACUCCUCCUCAGAGUCCAAUAACACUCCUAACCCUGCUCCCCCAACCUGUGGACUUUUUAAAUCCAUGAAAAUAGAACCUGUCAAGCUACCACAAAAUAGCAUCAGAAGGCAGGAUCAGUCUUUCAUAGGCAUACAAUCUCUGUAAAUACUGAAAAAAGAUUAUUAAAAGCCUGCUAAGUUUUGUCUCCAGUGAAAUAGAUGCAGGCAAGUAUUUUGAUUGUUCUGAACACAUUAGAGAUGAGUGCUACACAGAACUAAGGUAAACUUUGUAAAUUCGUAUGUCAUAACACUUUGUUCCACAAAAAACUAUCUUAUUUUUUAUACUCCAUACUGAUACAGCCAAAUAAUGUGGCUCUUAUUUUCUAAAGAUGCCAGCAAUAUGUUUAAACAUGUCUUCAUUGUAGUAAAAGUAUCAUAUUUAUAAAAAAUACAUAUGCAUUUAAUGUGAUAUUCCUUAUAGUCAAAAUCUUGAUAUCAUCCUGUUAAUCUGGCUAAAAAUGUAUCUGUAAAAUGAAAGAGAGGAAUAUUUUGCCAUUCCCUAAACAACAGUUGUUUGAAGCUUUUGUAAUUGCUGGUUAUGGGAAUUUACCAAUAACAGGAAUGAAUUUGGAUUUUCUUUUGCUGGAAUCAAAUGGACAAUGUCAUAAUUAGCUAAAUAAUGUUGAGGCUAAAUGAAGUUUGAGUUUUAGGCACAUCCUUUAUGGAAUAUAAACAGGAACCUAAAAGUUCAUUCUGAACAUAGGUUGUUUCUUUCUGCCAAAACAAGAUUAAUAGUCAGUACCCUAACGACAAGGUCCUAUCACUGAAGUAGAUUAUCGGCUAGUCAAAUGGGUUCCUAACAGCACCUCCCUCAUGGGUUAAAACAAGAGGGUUAAUGUGAUGUGUAUUUGCUUAAUUUGGCUUGUUAUACAGUAAACACACAGCAAACGUUAGCUAUUGUUAUCUUCAUUUCCUUUGGAGAAGUUAUCUUAUUUCUCACCUUAUUAAAAAUAAACCCUAACUCAUACAGGGACCCUCCUUACCUUGGUCCUUUCACCCAUGAAUACCAUAAUAACCUAUACUGCAAAAAGGAGGCUCAGGAGGAGGAUGAGGUAUCAAUAGGCCUCCGGGUCAUUUUUAUGAUUUAGGUAUUUUUUGAAAAGGGUAGGCUCUCUUGAAACUUCCAAGGUAGUUGUUGUAGUAUUUUAUUUUCCUUUCAUAAGAAAUGCUUUCUGAAAUGUAUUGCAGUGAACAAAUAACAAAAUUGACAAAUGCUGUAAGCCUUUUACAGUUAUCUGAACACACAGAAUAAAGUGUAAUCAAAUUUGUGCACAUUAGGUUUGCUUUUUCCUGUACCUAGCUGUCUCUUAUGUGUUCAGAACCAUUUCUUCCAAUCACCUUUUUUUGUCUUCUGGCUAUAAUUUAUCAUUAUCUACAAAUUCAAUAAAUGGAGCAUGC